AUACUUCCCUGGCAGGGGAGAUCCCAUGGUCAAGAAGUUGGUUUUCCCAGGGCAAGGCUUAUCCAUUGCACUCCGGAUGUGCUGACCCCUGCAAUUUCCCCAAAUGUGGGAAACUUGGCUGGAUAAUUUGUCGUAGUGGGGGACUGUAUUCGCGCUCUCCCCUG
ensembl:snRNA U1 U1 spliceosomal RNA